rnacentral:rRNA from 1 species
CCUACGGGAGGCUGCAGUCGAGAAUCAUUCACAAUGGGGGAAACCCUGAUGGUGCGACGCCGCGUGGGGGAAUGAAGGUCUUCGGAUUGUAAACCCCUGUCAUGUGGGAGCAAAUUAAAAAGAUAGUACCACAAGAGGAAGAGACGGCUAACUCUGUGCCAGCAGCCGCGGUAAUACAGAGGUCUCAAGCGUUGUUCGGAAUCACUGGGCGUAAAGCGUGCGUAGGCUGUUUCGUAAGUCGUGUGUGAAAGGCGCGGGCUCAACCCGCGGACGGCACAUGAUACUGCGAGACUAGAGUAAUGGAGGGGGAACCGGAAUUCUCGGUAUAGCAGUGAAAUGCGUAGAUAUCGAGAGGAACACUCGUGGCGAAGGCGGGUUCCUGGACAUUAACUGACGCUCAUGCACGAAAGUGUGGGUAUCGAACAGGAUUAGAUACCCGAGUAGUC